CGGGGCGCAGCAGUGGGGAAUUUUGGACAAUGGGGGCAACCCUGAUCCAGCAAUGCCGCGUGAGUGAAGAAGGCCUUCGGGUUGUAAAGCUCUUUUGUCAGGGAAGAAACGGUGAGUUCUAAUACAACUUGCUAAUGACGGUACCUGAAGAAUAAGCACCGGCUAACUACGUGCCAGCAGCCGCGGUAAUACGUAGGGUGCAAGCGUUAAUCGGAAUUACUGGGCGUAAAGCGUGCGCAGGCGGUUAUAUAAGACAGAGGUGAAAUCCCCGGGCUCAACCUGGGAACUGCCUUUGUGACUGUAUGGCUAGAGUGUGUCAGAGGGGGGUAGAAUUCCACGUGUAGCAGUGAAAUGCGUAGAUAUGUGGAGGAAUACCGAUGGCGAAGGCAGCCCCCUGGGAUAACACUGACGCUCAUGCACGAAAGCGUGGGGAGCAAACAGGAUUAGAUACCCGAGU
rnacentral:rRNA from 1 species